rnacentral:rRNA from 1 species
AGCCUUUGGAAAGGAUUAAAGGUUAUACCUGCCCAAUGUUAUAUUAAUGGCCGCGGUACUUUGACCGUGCUAAGGUAGCACAAUCAAUUGGCCCUUAAUUAGGGUCAGGUAUGAAUGGAGUUACGGGGUUUAGCUGUCUCUAGACUAUUUAAUUGAAGUUGCUAUAUAGGUGAAAAAGCCUGUAUUAAGAAAAAAGACGAGAAGACCCUUAGAGUUUUACUUAAAAAAGAGUUAUUUCUUCACUAGUUUUGUUGGGGCAACAUAGGAGAAGAACUAAACCUCCUAAAGGAUAUAAACCGAUGUUUUUAAAUAUGAAUAAACUACCUUAGGGAUAACAGCAUAAUUUUAAAAAUAAGUUUGUGACCUCGAUGUUGGACUAGGAAACUUAAGGGCUAGCCGCCUUUUGGUAAGGUUCUGUUCGAACUAUAAUUCCU